rnacentral:rRNA from 1 species
UACGAAGGGGGCUAGCGUUGCUCGGAAUCACUGGGCGUAAAGCGCACGUAGGCGGCUUUUUUAAGUCAGGGGUGAAAUCCCAGAGCUCAACUCUGGAACUGCCUUUGAUACUGGGUGUCUUGAGUGUGAGAGAGGUAUGUGGAACUCCGAGUGUAGAGGUGAAAUUCGUAGAUAUUCGGAAGAACACCAGUGGCGAAGGCGACAUACUGGCUCAUUACUGACGCUGAGGCUCGAAAGCGUGGGGAGCAAACAGG